CCAGGGCUGGGAGAUAAUACAGCAAAAAGCCUGCCAUGUCCUGGUGACAGGAGCCCAUUUCAGCGGCCAAAAAAUCUUUCCAACAGCUUCUGUUUUGCUGGUAAAUGUCUGUGUUUGUGUUGGUUGUAGGAGGAAACCUGGGAAAACAAGUUGGGUUCUGGAUGAGAAAAUGGGUGACUUUGUUAUAGGAUGGAGCAAAGAGAAUCACAAGAAAGCUCAAUGGCAUUUGACCCCAAAUGGAAAACCCAAAAUGACACUUCCAUUAGGAUAUUCCUUUGUUUUGGAAGAACAGGGUGAGAAGAAGAAAGACAGGGGCAAACUUUACCAGACAUGCCCUUCACCAGCCAGGAUUAGUAACUGAAGAGGAAGGAGAGAAUGCUGGGUGCACUCCAGCUGCUGGGACCCUUCUCUUUCCAUCUCACUGUACCUUUGCUUCUGGAGGAAGGAAAAUACAUUCAAGUCCUAGGAAGAUUCUGAAGGUCAAAUGAGGGAAAGGAGCCCUGCCCAGCAAGAUGUAUCAUGUCAAGCCACCUGCUUCUAUCAGUCCCAAAUCCACCAUCACCUUAGUUCCUGACUGCAAUUAGCACAACUGUGUUAUCACCUGCUCUAACUUUAGAGAGAGACUGCAUUUAACAUCAAGAAUGAGGGUGCUUUUGGGAAAAUGAAAAAAAAAAAAACAAACAAAAAACAGAUGAACAUCAUUUCAGAAAGGAAGAGGAAAAAUGAUGAUGAUUCUCCUUGAUAUGAAAUAAUGAACUUCAAGCUCUAAAACAGAACAUUGCAUAGAACAAGAGGAGGACAGAGGCAGAAAAACUUGCCUGUGAAUUGAAAGAUAUGAGAUAGUCUGGUACCACAAUGAAACUACCUGUGGUUAGCCUAGUUCAUGAACAGGUUUUCUUAACAUGCUUCUCACCAUCAUAGGAGUUCAGCUAAGUCUAAUAAAAAGCACUCUAUGGAUCUAAGCAUUCUCUUUUAACAUGUCCUGUAGAGGAUUAAAUCUCUAUGUAGAAAAUAAAAAAACCCAAGCUUUACUUCUUUUAGAAACUAUUUCAGUAGUAAGGGAGAGUAAAAUGAGGAAAAAUUUUAUGUUUUAAUUUUGGUGGCCAUAUAUUGGUGAUGGGUUUUAUAUUUGCAGUUCUGUAUGCUAAGUGUACCUAGAAAAAAAUAGAUGAAACGCAUUCACAAAAAAUAGCAACACUUUUUCUAUGGGGACCAAGAGAAAUGCUAUGCUGGGAGGGCCUGAGGGAUCCAGUCUGGAGCCCAGAGCUAGUGUAUCUGUAUCUGUAUUCCAGAAAUAAUAUCUUUUUAUUACUCUUUCUUUUUUUUUCCAAAUGGCUACAUCUUCUCCCUUUAUCAGCAGUAGCAAGAUUUGAGAACAUAGGGAUGGCAACAGUAUUUUCAGAACAGAAAAUUAAAACAAGCUGUAUUUUUGUUCCCAAUUUAUGAGUCUAUUUUGAUGGGAAGUUGAACAAAUAAAAAGGAAAUCAUCAAA